GGGAAGUAAAAGUCGUAACAAGGUUUCCGUAGGUGAACCUGCGGAAGGAUCAUUACCGAGUUCUCGGGCUUCGGCUCGACUCUCCCACCCUUUGUGAACGUACCUCUGUUGCUUUGGCGGCUCCGGCCGCCAAAGGACCUUCAAACUCCAGUCAGUAAACGCAGACGUCUGAUAAACAAGUUAAUAAACUAAAACUUUCAACAACGGAUCUCUUGGUUCUGGCAUCGAUGAAGAACGCAGCGAAAUGCGAUAAGUAAUGUGAAUUGCAGAAUUCAGUGAAUCAUCGAAUCUUUGAACGCACAUUGCGCCCCUUGGUAUUCCGGGGGGCAUGCCUGUUCGAGCGUCAUUACAACCCUCAAGCUCUGCUUGGAAUUGGGCACCGUCCUCACUGCGGACGCGCCUCAAAGACCUCGGCGGUGGCUGUUCAGCCCUCAAGCGUAGUAGAAUACACCUCGCUUUGGAGCGGUUGGCGUCGCCCGCCGGACGAACCUUCUGAACUUUUCUCAAGGUUGACCUCGGAUCAGGUAGGGAUACCCGCUGAACUUAAGCAUAUCAAUAAGCGGAGGA
rnacentral:rRNA from 1 species